rnacentral:rRNA from 1 species
AUUGAACGCUGGCGGCAGGCCUAACACAUGCAAGUCGAGCGGAUGAGGGAAGCUUGCUUCCCGAUUUAGCGGCGGACGGGUGAGUAAUGCCUAGGAAUCUGCCUAUUAGUGGGGGAUAACGUUCCGAAAGGAACGCUAAUACCGCAUACGUCCUACGGGAGAAAGUGGGGGAUCUUCGGACCUCACGCUAAUAGAUGAGCCUAGGUCGGAUUAGCUAGUUGGUGAGGUAACGGCUCACCAAGGCGACGAUCCGUAGCUGGUCUGAGAGGAUGAUCAGCCACACUGGAACUGAGACACGGUCCAGACUCCUACGGGAGGCAGCAGUGGGGAAUAUUGGACAAUGGGCGAAAGCCUGAUCCAGCCAUGCCGCGUGUGUGAAGAAGGUCUUCGGAUUGUAAAGCACUUUAAGUUGGGAGGAAGAGUUGUAAGCUAAUAUCUUGCAGCUUUGACGUUACCAACAGAAUAAGCACCGGCUAACUCCGUGCCAGCAGCCGCCGUAAGAC